GGUUAAGCGAACAAGCGUACACGGUGGAUGCCCUGGCAGUCAGAGGCGAUGAAGGACGUGCUAAUCUGCGAAAAGCGCCGGUAAGGUGAUAUGAACCGUUA
rnacentral:rRNA from 1 species